AAUGGCAAUGAAAGGAAAUUAAGGUUGGCUGAGUCCUCCCCUGUAUGUUAGAUUUCCCUUUGUGCCACUUGAUCUUUGCCUCCCUCCCCUGCUGUGUUCUUAAUUACCAGCUUCGUUCCACAGGUGAGGCCCUAGGUCAGGCCCAGGGAGCUGGCAGAGCCGCUAGAAGCCAGGCUUAUCUCCUGGAGGUGGCAGGAAACCUAGGGUGUGUCAGCGCUGAAGUGGCCUUUGCCACGGGCUCUAGGGCACCCUGCCAUAGUGGGGGAUGUACCUGUCUGCUAGAAUUCCUGCUGGCAGGCAACAGAAAUGGGCUCCGGUGUCUGCGGGCAGAAUAGGAGUUUCUGGAAAGCCCAUUGGGCAGCAGCCGGAACGGACUAGACAGAGAAAGCCAGGCUAAGACAGACACAGGGCAGGGUGGCCCUGGCCUUCCUGGGCUGAACCCCCUCCACUACCUCUCUGCUUAGGGCUGCUUUUGAAGCCCAAGACCUGCACAGUCCCUGUCCCCAUUGCAGGUGGGAGGCAGGUGCUUUCUUGGAAAGUUUCAGAGUGCUGGGCUGUGGCGAGGGCUUUUUAUUUUUUUUUUUUGGUACUGGGGAUCGAACUCCGGUCCUUGUGCUUGCACAGCAGGCGUCGAAACCACUGAGCUAAAUCCCCGGCCCCAUGGCCAGGACUUUUUAAAGGACACACAGAGAGGGAGCUGAGGGGACCCCCCCAGGAGAAGCAGCGGCUCUGGUUUUCACACUGCAGUUUUGCUCCCGGCCCUUGGUGUGAGUCACAUGUGAAAGUAUCUUGUUUUGCUAGGCCUGUGUCUGCUGCUGCCACCACCGUCACAGAAGCUGUCACUUCUAGGCAGGAGGCCCUAGGCUGGUCCCAGACUGCAGGGAAGCCAGAUCUAGAUGAGGGGCCGACCCUGUCUGUCUGCCACCAGAUGCUGCUGCCGUGGGAGCAAAGCAAGCCUGGCUGGUGGGAUUUUCCUCCUUUGCAACAGAUGCAAAUGUGAUGCAAAUGAUAUGCAGAGAAUGGGGGGACUGAACAGCUGGAAAGCUCUGUGCUGUUCCUUGAAACUGACCACCUCUUCUUGUCCUGACUGUUGCUGGGGUUUGCGCCCCUGGACAGUUGGUACCUUCUGCAGGCCCCCAACGUUAAUGCUAGAUGAACAAAUGAAAAGCAAAUUAGCAAAACAGAGUGCAGUGGAGCACACCUGUGAUCCUGGCAUUCCAGAGGCUGAGACAGGAGGAUUGCUUGAGCCUAGGAGUUUGAAACCAGCAAGACCCUUCUCAAACACAAACAAAAAGCAUCCUGCUGCGGUGGCUUGCUCACCUGUCGCUGUGCACAGGCCCAGCCACAGAGGCCGGAGCACAAGGGCAUGCUGGAUGGACCAGGGCAGGCCAGUGCAGCAGCAAGGUCUGGCCCCUCCUCACUCAGUGUCAACCCCCAGGCCUGAGGUGUCCAUGGGCUUCCAGGAGGCAGUAACUUCCCCAUGCCAGUGCCCCACCAACGUGACAUCACCUGAACAUGUAGUGAAGAGAAUUUGUGUUUUCAAAAGCCUUUUUCCCCUGGACCCUCUGUGAACUGAGUUGCCAUGGAAAUACACUGGAGGCAAACAGAGCUAAUGAGCUUGGUUGGGACUUUUGCCUUCUUGAAUGUUUUCCAUUCUGAGCUUUAAUUAGAGAGAUUAUUGAGGGUGGACUUUUUCUUUUAUUGUGAAUUAAUUUUAAAGCCAGGUUCUGAGGUUAAAUAAUGAUUUCAUUUGUUAAUCAACUGCACUUGGGUCUCCUUCCAAAAGGAAACAAGAUGGGCCAGGGAUUUAGCUCAGUGGUUCCGGCGCCUGCCUCGCAAGCACAAGGUCCCAAGUUUGAUCCCCGGUACCAAAAAAAAAAAAAAAACCAAAAGGAAACAAGAUGCCAUUGUGGGAAUGUUGGAAACUGGGUGUCUGAGACCGUGGGGGUUUUGCUGGCUGCAGUGAUGUCAGGGGUCCGGACAGUCAGUUCUCACGGGUGCCAUGGCUUUGAUAGACAAGGAUUCACCUUGGGAAGGGUCUUGACUGCGGUAGUGGUGGGGAUGUACAGGAGGGAGCUCGGACUGGGUCCCUGGAAUCCCACUGCUUCCGGAAGGAAGUUGCAAGCCCCUCUGGAGGCUUCAGCUUCCCUGCUGGAGCCCGUAAAUGUCCGCACAGAGAUAGUGGCCUGAGGAGGGGCUGCAGGGAGGCCUCAGGACAGGCUGUUGGGCUUGCAGCGGCUCGGGCUUGCGCACUGUCUCUGUUAGAGUAACUUCCGGUGUUUUCCUCAGGCUCUGUCCAGCUCGGGCCAUCGGCAUUUGGGGCCGAAUCGUUCUUUGCUGUAGGGCCGGCCUGCGCAUCGUAGGCUGUUUAGCCGAAUCUCUGGCCUCUGCCCCCAGAUGCAGGGGCACUGUCCUUCCUGUGACCCCCCCCCCCAAUGCCGUGACCACCAAAAGUGUCUCUGGACAUCGCCAAAUGUCCUCUUGGGGACAAAAUUACCUCCAAUCAAGGACUACUGCAUUAAAAUAUAGUAUGUAUUCAUCAUUGAAAAUAUACAUAAAUGUAGACAAUAAGAUGAAAAAGCAACCUGUAAUUCCAGUAACCAGAGUUAACUACUGCCAGGCUUUAGGUGUUCUUCUUUCCCUACUUACUUUUCCUUGCAUUUUUGCUUUUUCAUAAAACUGAGGCUUCCCCGGGUGUGUGGUUUGCAGCCUGGCAGCCUGGGGCCUGGGGGCCGCAGACCUUACCGCUCUUCCCAGAUCUCUCCUGCACCUCCUCUUGAGCUGCGUCGGCGACGGCGCUGUCCAGAACGGGUCACUGGAGGGCGAGGAGCAUGGUGGGAGCUCAGCAGGACCUCAUCUUCAACCGGUUGCUCUGCAGAGGUGGUCUUGCUCGGGUGGACUCCCAGCCUCCCGUGCAUUGCUCAUGAGUAGGUCCGCUCCAGGCCGAGACUGUCAGAAGCUCUCAGGAGGAGUGGGAGGGAGGUUCAGACUUGUGAGGAGCUGAGGAAAGUAGCUCCUUCCCAGGAAAAAGGGCCACAUCUGCCCAGUUCUGCAUCCCAUCCCAGGGAUCCCUGGUAGCAACUUCUGGGCAUGGGGAAUUUUUUCCUGAGGACUUGUAAUGUCCUAGGGACUCACCCCUCUCUUCCAGGAAUAUCUGUCCAGGCCCUAGGAAGGCUCCGAUCCCAACUUUCCCCAUUACGUGGGUGGUAACGUGAGACACAGCAGCAGUGGGAUUGAGGCCGGGGCCCAACACUGAGAUACAUUCCUGUUCGUUUUUAAAAAGCUUGCGAUGCAGGUUCUGGCUAAGUCACUAAAUUGCCCUAGCUGGGCUAGAACUCGAGAUCCUUCUGCUGCAGCCUCCCAGAGCACAAGAUUACAGCCAUUUGGGAUGCUUCUGACAUCUGUGGAGACCACAGUGCUGCAGCGAUGGUCUUGUCCGUUUGUCCUUCGUACUCACGCCGGCCCCUCUGCAGCUGGUUCCUUGGCGUGGAAGUGCGGGGCCCAGCAGAUGCGCUUGGAUCUGUGGUGCGGAUACCCGAGGCUCCCUGGCUCACCAGGGCCUCCUCCAAUGGAUGCAGUGCCAAGGACGGACCGAACGGUUUGGAAGGAGAAGCGCUGUCACUGUUGCAGUGUCUAAGCUGGACGCUAACAAGAAGAAGAGACCAGGCAUCCAUGUCCAGGACCGCUCUGUCCACCCCGGUGGGCUGUGGCCAAGACCUGGCUGGGACUUCAGUGACCUGUCCCUUGUAGGAAAUUUGCAAGACCUUCCACUGCAAAUGUUUCAUGCCUGCUGGAUGAGGUGGUGCAGUAAGCCCAGCAGCGGAUGGCUGCUGCUCACCCACCCAUGGCCCCAAGGAGCUGGGACUGCGCAGCUCUGGCCUCUGGCUCUCGUUUGGGGGUGUUGGUGUUGCGGGCUGCAGGCCGGGACUCCCAGCUUGGGGAGGUGCAGGGGUGCCCCACAGCGCUUCCCAGAAAGGCAGUGGCUGGCAGGGCAGAGGCUACCCUGGCCACUUCUACCCCCCUCUGGAAGGUGUAGGCUCUUCAGCUUCCGGGAGGAAGGCUCCGUCCUGGGGGGAGCGUCCACUUGCCAGAAUCCUGUGUGUGUCAGUGCAGCCCCACCUGCACUCUCCUGCGCCUGAACCCGAGCUCAGACAGAAAAGCCAGCUGCUCCCUCUGCAGACUCCAGCGCCUGACAGCACAGCAGGUCUGAAGUUGUCUCUGGAAGCCUGGGCAGACCCCGUGGAAGGACAUUGCCGGUCAGCCGGGGAAUUACAGGUUUGCAGGGCUUAGCCCAGACAGGACUCUCGGCCUGGCCUGUUUCUUGUGGACACACUGUCCACAGGCAGGGCUGCCGUGGCCCACAGCUUAGGGGCACUGUUCCUCUGGAACAGUGUGGGCCAGGCUUGGGGACACAUGCACACACACUCACAUGCACAGGGCUCAGGCUGGCCGCUGUCCACGCCUUCCUCACCCGACCUCAUUGUCCCAGUACACAAGCACCCAGCUACAUUGAAAAAGCUGGGCAGAGCCAGACAUGGGGAUGCAUACUUAUAAUCCCAGCUACUGGAAAGGCAGAAGCAGGUGGAUCUCGAGUCCAAACCCAGCCUUGCCAACUUAGGGAGAAUGUCUCAAUAAAAAAUAACAACGGCUGAGGAUGUAGCUUAGUGGUAGUGGUAAGUGACCCUGGAUUCAAUCCCCAGUACCACACACACACACGUGCAGUUAGAUGAACCAUCCUGGGAGGCCACAGGCUUCCCCAGGGCAUUGGCAGUGGACUCCCAUUGCACCCAACCUUUCAGGACCACCUCUGGCUCGAUUCAGUGAGAUGCACCUGCCCCCAGGUGACUCACGAGCACACCAGGCUCGCCACGAGAGGGGAAGCUGCCAUUCCCAAUGCAGCAGGUUGCCAGUACAUUUAUGACUUGGGAUCACGAAUCCUUAAAUCACCUGCAUGCCCUUGUAAGCAUGAUCAUAGAUCAGCUUGGAAGAGGCCUUUGCUGCAGGUGUCUUUGGCAAACCCUGGUCAAAGCUAGGAACCACGAGACCAAGGAACUCUAGCAGCUGCACUGGUCCCCAGGAAGCAACGAGAUGCUCUGGACAAGGAAGAUGUGAGUGCAAAUCGAUGAUAAUCUAAGCCUUGGUGGGGAUUUACUGAACCGUAGGUUGCUGCUGCCAGUACAGUAGCUUUGUACCUCUGGGUAGGGACUGCAAGGGACCCUCGGGACCUGCCAUGAGCAAUUCCAGACUCGUGUCCGAGGUCAUCCAGGGAGACCCAGACGUCUGCUAGGUGAGGAGAAAGCCUCGGGGUGGGGACACUUCUCCAGGGCCAAGCGGCACAGGAAGGCACAGCUGAGACCCAGCCUCAGUUCCAGCCUGGCCGGAGCCCGGGGCCCACCACACCCUCACCCUCCAAAACGGGAGAAGCCCGAGACUGUGAAUCAGAGCCCCCCGGGGAGUUUUGCUGAUACAUUUUUGUUUGCAAGUGAGAGGUUCUGCCUCUAUUAAAGUCUUUAGGAAAUUAUAGUGAUUUUGACUUUUUCAGACAUGUUUGAAUUACUCACAGUCUGGCAUUCCCAGGCAGGGGGUGGGACCCAGGAGGCUGCAGGCGUCAGGGGCCCCCAGACCGGACCGACCGAGCUAGAGGUAGAUUCUUUCAGAUUCCAAGCCCUGAGUCACCCGCUGGGAGACUGGGCUGGUAUGUGGAUUAGGUAAAGCUGGACCUGCGAGCGAGGGUAGCUGGGAGACACAGUGAAGUGAUGAACGAGACACCUGAUCUGGCAGGAUCUCACGAGGGCCAGUUCAGAACCGGGCGGACGUGAGCCUCGGGCUUACUGAUCAGGAACUGGACUGGCAGGGUUCAAAUCUAGUUCCAAGGCUGGCUUGGAGCUACAGAACUUGCCCACCCUGAGGCCCUGUUUCCCUCUGGGGAAAGUGCAGAGCAGGACAGCGCAGGCCCAGGGGAGGAUGGUGCCUGGCAUAACCAGUGCCUAUGGGAGGGCGAGGACUAAAGAAAAGACCAUAGAGACUUGUGUAGUUUCGAAGUAUACGGGAGCCAGGAGGUCAGUGCCUCAGAGCAGGCAAAGACAAGGGAGCACUCCCAGCUCACCACUAUUUAUUGGGUUCAUGGGGAGUAUCAGAUAACUCAGAGGGCAGCGAUGAUCCUAAAUUGACAAGGAUCUUAUAAUCGGAGGAAGUAUCAGAUGACUCAGAGGGUGGUGGUUAUCCUAUGACGAUGAGGAUCUUAUGCUGAUGAGGAUCUUAUGCUGAUGAGGAUCUUAGGUCAAUGAGGAAUUUAAACUGAUUAAAAUGGUGAGACCAG